AGUGAACGCUGGCGGUAGGCCUAACACAUGCAAGUCGAACGGCAGCACAGUAAGAGCUUGCUCUUACGGGUGGCGAGUGGCGGACGGGUGAGGAAUACAUCGGAAUCUACUUUUUCGUGGGGGAUAACGUAGGGAAACUUACGCUAAUACCGCAUACGACCUACGGGUGAAAGCAGGGGAUCUUCGGACCUUGCGCGAUUGAAUGAGCCGAUGUCGGAUUAGCUAGUUGGCGGGGUAAAGGCCCACCAAGGCGACGAUCCGUAGCUGGUAUGAGAGGAUGAGCGGCAACAGUGGAACGGAGAAACGGUCAAGACUCCUACGGGAGGCAGCAGUGGGGAGUAGUGGAGAAAGGGCCAAAGUCUGAUACCGCCGUGCCGGGUGGGGGAAGAAGGACUUCGGAUUCGAAAGCAUUGGAAGUGGAGAGGAAGGGGAGGAAGUUGAUACCGUGCUGGUGGGACGUGACCAACAGAAGAAGCACCGGCUAACUUCGUG
rnacentral:rRNA from 1 species